GACAAUAAUGAAUAAACAAGGUCCCCAUUUACUGGGCGACUCGUUUCGUUUUUAUGUUUUUUUUUACUUUUUCUUCUUCUC
rnacentral:ribozyme from 1 species